AACAAACGCUGGCGGCGUGCCUAAUACAUGCAAGUCGAACGAAGUCUUCGGACUUAGUGGCGGACGGGUGAGUAACACGUGGGAACAUACCCUUUUCUACGGAAUAGCUCUGGGAAACUGGAAUUAAUACCGUAUACGCCCUACGGGGGAAAGAUUUAUCGGGGAAGGAUUGGCCCGCGUUGGAUUAGCUAGUUGGUGGGGUAAAGGCCUACCAAGGCGACGAUCCAUAGCUGGUCUGAGAGGAUGAUCAGCCACAUUGGGACUGAGACACGGCCCAAACUCCUACGGGAGGCAGCAGUGGGGAAUAUUGGACAAUGGGCGCAAGCUUGAUCCAGCCAUGCCGCGUGAGUGAUGAAGGCCUUAGGGUUGUAAAGCUCUUUCACCGAUGAAGAUAAUGACGGUAGUCGGAGAAGAAGCCCCGGCUAACUUCGUGCCAGCCGCCGCGGUAACAC
rnacentral:rRNA from 1 species